rnacentral:rRNA from 1 species
AUUGAACGCUGGCGGCAGGCUUAACACAUCCAAGUCGAGCGGAGAUGAGGUGCUUGCACCUUAUCUUAGCGGCGGACGGGUGAGUAAUGCUUAGGAAUCUGCCUAUUAGUGGGGGACAACAUUCCGAAAGGAAUGCUAAUACCGCAUACGUCCUACGAGAGAAAGCAGGGGAUCUUCGGACCUUGCGCUAAUAGAUGAGCCUAAGUCGGAUUAGCUAGGUGGUGGGGUAAAGGCCUACCAAGGCGACGAUCUGUAGCGGGUCUGAGAGGAUGAUCCGCCACACUGGGACUGAGACACGGCCCAGACUCCUACGGGAGGCAGCAGUGGGGAAUAUUGGACAAUGGGGGGAACCCUGAUCCAGCCAUGCCGCGUGUGUGAAGAAGGCCUUAUGGUUGUAAAGCACUUUAAGCGAGGAGGAGGCUACUGAGACUAAUACUCUUGGAUAGUGGACGUUACUCGCAGAAUAAGCACCGGCUAACUCUGUGCCAGCAGCCGCCGUAACAC